UACGGGGGGGGCAAGCGUUGUUCGGAAUUACUGGGCGUAAAGGGCUCGUAGGUGGCCAACUAAGUCAGACGUGAAAUCCCUCGGCUUAACCGGGGAACUGCGUCUGAUACUGGAUGGCUUGAGUUUGGGAGAGGGAUGCGGAAUUCCAGGUGUAGCGGUGAAAUGCGUAGAUAUCGGGAAGAACACCGGUGGCGAAGGCGGCUCGCUGGGCCGUUGCUGACGCUGAUGCGCGAAAGCGUGGGGAGCAAACAGG
rnacentral:rRNA from 1 species